CCUCCCCACUUCUUUUCUCUUUUCUCUUUUCUUUUCUCUCUUUUGCAAUCAUGGCUCACCACAGCCUUGGCCUCCUGGGCUCAUUCGAUCCUCCCACCUCAGCCUUCUGAGUAGCUUGGACUACAGGUGUGCACCACCGUGCCUGGCUAAUUUUUUAUUUUUAUGUUUGGUAGAGAUGAAGCCUUGCUAUGUUGCCCAGGCUGGUCUCAAACUCCUGGACUCAAGCGAUCCUCUAACCUUGGCCUCCUAAAGUGCUGGGAUUACAGGCGUGAGCCACCAUGCCUGGCCCGGUAUGUUAAAAUGUAAAACCAAUAAGGAACAUAGUAGUUGCUUGAAAUAACAGGCAAUCAUUGUGGUGGGGAAAAUUAGUGCCCGCCAAUUCUAGAUAGGAUCAUGUGCUUCAUGUUCAUCUCUGGAAGUCCAGGGGACACUAUAGAUGUCACUGUAAGCACUUAAGAGCAAAGGUGUAAACAUCUAUUUUCUCAUGUGAACUUCCAGAAAGAAAGGACUCUGAGGUGACAGAAUUGCAAGCCAGAAACAGCCUCCGUGCCUAUAUUUCUUCUGGAACCUAACAGAGCCUCCCACGUGCAUGGAACUGUGCUGUGGGUGAGAAUAAAGCUGCUUGAUUCAGGUAUAAGAAAAAGGAGGAGAGACACAGACAGACACACGCACAGGGAGAGACAGACAUGGGAGAAAAACCACACGACAACAGAGGCAGAGGUUGGAGUGAAGCAUCUACAAGCCAAGGAAUUCCGAGGACGGCUGGCAAUGCCCAAAGCUAAGAGGAGGUCCUGGAGCAGAUUCUGCCCUGGAGCCUUCAGAGGGAGCAUGGCCUGCCCAUGCCUUGAUUUUGGACUUCUGGCCUUCAGAACUGGGAGAGAAGUUUCUGUUGUGAGCAGCCACGGGCCACUCACACACGGGCCUCCCCCAGACCCCUGCGCAAGCCUUUACUCCCAGGACUCAGCUGUUUCACUGAGUUCCGAUUUUCCCCUGUGGAACCUGUGUCAUGUUUGAAGCAGAAGCUUGUGGACAAGGGAUUCACAGACACAAAUUUGCGAUUCUUUUGGGGUAGCAUGAUGUCUCUCCAUGAAGGGCCAGCUGUCUUGGUAUGGACUUUGGCUCAAUCUGGACUUACUCAUCCUUAUGGUUCAGGAUGCACUUGGACACCAAUGCAGCAAGGACAUGCUGCGAUUCUUCUGCCUGCUGUUUUUGAUUUGUCUUUUCUCUUCUCUUUUCUCUUUUUUCUUUUCUUUUCCUUCUCCUCUUAUUCUUCUCUUCUCUUGUCUUCUCUCCU
rnacentral:lncRNA from 1 species